CGCGGGGAAGUGUAACGGCUGCACGGCGGGCUCAUAAUCCGCAGGCAGGGGGUUCGACUCCCCCACCCGCAACCA
rnacentral:tRNA from 1 species